rnacentral:lncRNA from 1 species
CAAACGCCGGGAGCUUUUCCAUGGGUUCGCUGAGUUUGGGAUCUGGACAAAUGUGGACAACCUUUUUAUGUGUUCACUGUCAUUUAGUCUGCGUGGACCCUAGAAAAAUUACUUUAUUGUAUUUUUCUCUUUUCUUAAUCUCUUUUACAGAAGAAAUUUAUGGAUUUUAGUCAUGUCGAUAAUGUUGGCUUGUGAAGUUUGAUUGGUAUUUAGGCCAAGUUCAGCAGUAUAUGUCAGUUUCUCCGAGCACGGCUUCUGGUGCGAUGGAUUUUUUUUGUUUUCGGAUUCCAAUUGCUUCUCCAUGUCCUAUGGAUAUCAUUUGGUUUGAUUCUUUUUCUUUCCGUCCAACCAAGUCAGGGAUGCUAGUGUAUAAAAGAUAGAGAUAUGGAAGCAUCCAAAUAGAAAUGGUCAUAAAAUCAUUGCUCCUGGAUUAAGUUUUUAUCCAUGUCAUGACCCAUAGAAAAGUACAUUGCACACGAUUCUCCAACAAAAUGGCUGGCAAUUUUAACUCGUUUUCUUCAUUCGCUAGCCGUUUGGGUCUUAGUUUUUGGAUGAGAAAGAUUGCACUCUCAUGGUUUUUUCAACCCAUCGUACGGAAUACGCCCAAAUGCAAAACUGUAUUUUUCUAGGAGCACUGUUUGCAUGUACGCCUCACGGAAUCCGAUUCAACAAAAAAAGGUAACACGAGGACUCCAACGGAUGAAUUUACAAACUCUCUUGAACGAAACAACAUGCCUACAUUCCAGAAAUUCGGAUGGGGCAUCUGUUCACAAGUGGUGAACCCUGUUGGAUUCAAAUGCCGUUUGGGCUAUGUAUACAUGGAUGUCCUUUAGAUUUCUUUUAUUUUCAAAGUUCCUUGGCGGUUUUGGGUACUGGGGACCUGUACUUGUGAGCGAUUCAAUGAAUGAAAGUGAGAGUGUUGAUGAUGAAAAUGAAGAGAGACAGAGAGCUGCUUUUGUUCAGUGUAGUGACCCUAGUGGGCGAUGAUGGUGGUGUGGUGAUUUAUGCCGGAUGUCAAUGAAUUCAACGGCUGCUAUGGGCUGUGCUGUGAGUGACAAUCCAUUGGGAUGGGGUAGAGCUAGAAACAUCAAAUAGUAGAGAGAGAAGAGAACUCUAAAUUCCAUAAUAUUUUGACAAUGUUAAUUUAUUAUCUGAUAUGAUAUAAUUUAUAAAUAUUUUUAAAUAUAAUUAAAUUAUUUAUUGAAUCUAUGUAUUAAUGUUUGAAAAUACGUCACAUCAGAUAAUAAAUAAAAAACAGUCAGAUAAGCGUAAUAUUGUUUGAUAUUAAUGCUGUUAAAUAAUGAGAAGAAGGAUUUUAAAUAAUGAUUAAUAAAUGUCCCUUUUAUCUUAAAUUACUGAACUCCACCAAUAACUAAUACCCUGAUACAAAGUUGUGUUUGAAACAUAGAUUCAGUGAGAAAAAAUUAUAUGAAAAUAUAAAAGUUAAACGAUUUAAUUAUUCAAAACUAUAAAAUAAUAUAUCUUUUUCAUUUUAGUUUUCCUUUUUCUAGCCAGAUCCUUUAUCCAAAGAAGCUGCCUCCCUGUGGUUGAAUACUCGAACGUGGAAUAUCAUAAAAACAGAAAAAAUAAGAAAAACAAGGGUAAAUUAUAAGAAUGGUCCCUGUAGUUUUGCAUAUUUUCAAUUCUGGUCUUUGUAUUUUUAAAUUAUGUGAUUUUGACUUUGUAUUUUACAUUUAUUGUCAAAUUAGUCCAAUUGAUAGUGAAAUUUAGAAUUUUGGAUGAAUUUUGAAUACAUGAACAACAUUUUUCUGGUGAUUUACAAUGGAAUUGGAUAUAUUACAGUAGGGUUUGAAUGAUUUAUCGUGAAAAUUGGGUGAAAAUGGGAGAAAAGUUCAAUUUUAUCUCUAAAAUACUGGUAUAUGUCAUAAAAGUAUAAACAAAUGUCCAAAAACAUAACGGCCGUUACUAAUUGGACUGAUUAUAACAAAAAAUAAAAAUAAAAACUUCUGAAUUUAAAAAUAUAAGGAUCAAAAUUUAGGACAAGUAAAAAUACAGGGACACUGUUUACAAUUUAUCCGAAAAACAAAAAAACCUGCCUCCAUCCACACACACACACACACUCUCCACUACCAAUAUAUACGUACCCACUUCUCCCUCUCUCCACCCAAUCUCACAACACCCAAAAAAUUGAGGUUUUGGCUGAUAUCUCCUCUCUCUCCGGGAGCCACCCUGACGCCGAUUCCUAGCUGAGGCGGCAGCGGAGAUCUAAGCUCUGUCAUAAGUAGAGAGAGCAAGGGGAUUUAUAGCUAUGAUUCUUUUGUUUCUGCUGCUUGAGGUCUUUGGGACUUUUGGAAACACUGGUGAUGCUGUGACCAGGAAGAGAGAGGUUGCUGCUUUUCUCGCUCAAACUUCACAUAAAACUACUGGUAAUUUCAAACAUGUUUUUUAUAUAACAAUUAUUAUGUACCAAAAAACAUUUUAAGGACAGCGACUAGUCGCGUCUAAGUGUCUUCCAUCGGUCUUAGGACCAAUUUUUGUUUUUAUAACUCAGUUUUGGUCGAGUCGGGUAAAGUUUCGUAUGGACAGACUCAACUCAAAAAUUAAUUGAUAGCACUUAAAAAGUUUCGAACUAAAGAAUUAAAAUGGAAUAGAUCUCCAAGUCUCAGGCUUAAAUCAUCAAUUUCACAGCUUGUUUUAUUAAGAUCCAGUUUUGUUUUCAGUGAACUUUUUUGGCAUUUAAUUAAAAAUUUAUACUUUUUCAGUUUCUUUUGACGAGAAGAGCUCGAAAAUAAAAAAUAAUCUAAUUUGAAAAAAAAUAUACUAAAUUCGAAAAAAAAUCAUUUUAGAUGGUUUUUCGGAUAAAAAUAAUUUCAUUCGUCUUGAGUAACCUUUUUUUCUAAAUUAGAUGACAAUUUUUAUGUAAUAAUUAUAAAUACAAUUUUAAUAAUUUAUUAAAAUUAUUGAGUUUACAAAAAAAGAAAUGUCUAGAAAUGUCUUUUUUCGUCAAUAAGUUUUUUUUUAAAUUAGAUAAUUAUUUUAUAUAUUUUUGAACUCUUCUCGUCAAGAAAAAAUAAAAAAUUUGUGGUAUUAGAGAGCUGCUUUUGUUCAGUGUAGUGACCCUAGUGGGCGAUGAUGGUGGUAUGGUGAUUUAUGCCGGAUGUCAAUGAAUUCAACGGCUGCUAUGGGCUGUGCUGUGAGUGACAAUCCAUUGGGAUGGGGUAGAGCUAGAAACAUCAAAUAAUAGAGAGAGAAGAGAACUCUAAAUUCCAUAACAUUUUGACAAUGUUAAUUUAUUAUCUGAUGUGAUAUAAUUUAUAAAUAUUUUUAGAUAUAAUUAAAUUAUUUAUUGAAUCUAUGUAUUAAUUUGAAAAUACGUCACAUCAGAUAAUAAAUAAAAAACAAUUAGAUAAGCGUAAUAUACAAUUAGAUAAGCGUAAUAUUGUUUGAUAUUAAUGUUGUUAAAUAAUGAGAAGAAGGAUUUUAAAUAAUGAUUAAUAAAUGUCCCCUUAUCCUUAAAUUACGACUCCAACAAUAACUAUACCUUGAGGCAAAACUGUAUUUUUUUUAUACUGCAAUCUCUAACUUAAUAUAUAAAUACAACUUAUGACAUAGUACGGAAGUUAAUAAAGAAGAGUAAAGGAAACACAUAAAUUAGAAAAACGUCCUAUUAAUCUAAGGAAGGAAUCUUCCUAAUUCCAACCGUAAGUAUAACACAACUUUCAAAGUACCCAUAAAAAAGCUCACACGUCGAUUUAUAGGAAGUAUUGGGAUCAUUUAACUAAAGAGCAAUUGGCAAAGCCUCAAAGCUAUGCAGAUUGCAUCCAUUAGUGUCGUCCCGGAGUUCCGAUGUUUGGAAUCAAUUCCUCUACACCUACCUUUCAAGUUAUCGAUAGAUCGAAAACAGAAAUAUAAAUGCGGGCUGAUAUCAAUAUUUACAGCAUGAAUUUUGUAAAAUCACCCAUUCUAGGUUAGGUGUAGUAGCAUGUGAUUUUAAAUGCAUUGAAUUUGAAAAAAUGACAGUAAAUCCAGGAACAGUCCCAAGGGGUCGCAGCCCCAAACUUUGACAAAUUUAUAAUAUUAAUCGCAUCUUAUUUCGAAUUCAAAAACUAUCUCUUACUAUUUACGGGUAAAAUCUAUUUGGGUUAAUCCAACGGCUGAGAUUUCAUCUAAAAUUAUUUUUUUCUCUCAAAACUAUAUUUCCAGUCUUUUUUCAAGAUGUUGAGCCCCACAUAAAUUCCAAUGGCAAAACUCUAAAAGUUAUGGCAUAUAUUUUAUCUAUUGAAUCAUUUUUUAGUAGAACCCACAUACAUAAAAAAAAUUUAUUUCUCCUUUAUUUCUCUCAAACUAGCAAUACUUUUUCAAAAUCAAUAUAUUUUCUAAUUUAUUUUUUAUUUUGUAGCAAUAUAUCUCUUCGUAUAUACAUCCAAUGUAUCUUUUAUCUGAUUUUUAUAUCUUAUCUGUUUUGUAAUUUGUAAAACUCUAACGAGUACGCCUAAGAGGUAAUUUUUUUUGAGCAGUGCCUAUAGGCAUGAGCAAUUACUAGUGCUCAAUAACGCAAUAUAAUUUUUGAUAUUUACAUGGUAAGUAUGCACAUCCCUAAUAAUUUAGUUUAAUGCCUCCAAAAUUUAAACAAAUAUUUAUCCUAGGCUCCGUUUGGAUAUGUAGAUUUCAAAUCAAGAAAUUUUAUAUUUUAUUUAAUAAAAAUAACUUACAUUAAGAUUUAGUAGUCGACGUAGAGAUUUCGAGCUUGAAUUUGAGAGUUUUAUUAUUAUGUAAUAUGAUGAAUUUAAAAUAACAAAUUAAUAAGAGAGAUUUAAAAUCUUUUAUACAAAUGCUUAAAAUACCCUUCCCAAAGAAAAAGAAAGAAAUAAAAGUGUAGUUGUAUGAGAAGGAAUAAUUCCGGUAAUGAGCAAAAAUAUUAAGGAUAUUAUUGUAAUCUUACAUAUAAAAAUAAAAAAUAUUUAAUAAAAAGUAUAGUGCAUAAAUCCCUAACCUAUUAAAAACUAAUAAUUCUUCUUAGGUAAGGACCUCUUGUACUGAAGAUUUGAAGCUUCUAGCUUGAUUUUUUCUCACAGCUUUGUGGUCAACUCUCACCAUUCCUCCUUUCGCCUCCCCAUACGUUUUCUUACAUUUUGGUCCGUAAUACAUGUGAAUACACAUUGAUGAAAGUCGUCAUUCACGUAGCCGCCCGAGUAACUAUUCUCAGUCUAUGAGUACAAUAUGUAUACACGGGUGUACUGUACGUAACAUUUUUACAACCUGACAUUUACAAUAACACUAAAUCAUAAAGAUUAAAGACAAAAAAUUCACACAACAAAACCCAGAAGAAUUCAGUGUACAGACUUUCUAAAAUUCUUUUGAUUUUCAGAAUUUAUUCAAAAAAAUAUGUUCAAACUCCAAAAACUUAUUAAAUAUCAUUGCAGUCUAUGUACCGGUUGAGGAGGAAUUUUGCGUAACCUUUGUGUGCAGUACGUCAAAGACGCCAAUACAGCCUCCCGAGAACGUACAAUAGAAUGAGUAUUGACUUGUCAGAUGUUCAGAUUUUACACAAUUUGGAUACAGGAUACAGCGUUACAAGUUCUUUCCAGCCAGCCGGUUUGGUACUGAGUUUAGCUCCUAUGGCGUCGAUCCGAAUAUAUUUUGCAAAUAUUUUGAUGAUACAUAUUUCUAUCUUAUUGCUCUUAAUGGUAGUAGUAAUUCAAGUAUGUUAGUUCAUCUCAAAAUUAUUCCAAGAGUCACAGCCAUUCUCACAAGGACACAAAAAGAAACACGAAAUAUUUGGGACUGCCAACAAGAAACCUUCAACACUGAAGGAUCAAAAAAUGGAAAACCGUUGUUCAGGUGUGUAUUAUUUUGUAAAUGCUCUUAGUAAUGGUUUACAACAAUUUUGUUAGGGCGUCUAAAAAAUGCUACCGUAAUAUAGUCCUUUCAUGGCCGCAUUAAUUAAAAAUACAAUAAGUGCAUUAAAACUUAGAUUUAUUACAAAAAUGUGCUACAAGCAAAAAUGUAUGUUCAUUUUGAAUAUUUACUAUGUCAAUGUGUGUAAAAAAUUGGGCUAGUUGACAAUAAUUGUUUUGACAUUGUGUUGCAAAAGCAUUUGUUUCAAUUUUGUAAAAACUAUUGCUAGCAACAAUUUUUGACUUUGAAAAUUGAUUCCAAGUUUUGAAAACAUAAUGUUAGCAACAUUUUCUGACUUGAAAUUUGGUUCCAAGUUGAAAAAUAUGUUAACACAAAUAAAGAGAACAAAUUUCUGACUUGAAAAUUUGGGUUCCAACUUUCUGACAAAUUGGAUAGGCACCUAUUUUCUGACUUUGCAAAAUUUGGUUCCAACUUCUGAAAAAAAUUGGAUAGCAACAAUUUACUGACUUUGAAAAAUGUGGUUAACAGAGCUGAGCGUGUUGAAAUUGGUAUAAUAAUUUCCUGACUUUGAUAUAAAUGUGGUUGCAUACUUUUGCCAAAAAUUGAAUAGCACCAUUUUUCUCAUUUUCGACUUUGAAUGUGGGUUGGAACUUUGAAAAUUUGGUACAGUAUAAUUUUCUUUCUGACUUUUGAAAAUGUGUGUGUGUGGCCAACUUUUGAAUUAGAGAAUCAAAAAAAAAAUAAAGAAUAGCAACCCAUUUCUGACUUGACAUGGUAUUUUCAAAUUUGAAAAUUGGCGUAAGAAAACUAGCAAAACUUCAAAUUCCAUCUUACCAACUCGGUUAUAGUUCUUCCUAGAAGCUAUAAAAUCAUAUCCUUUACGCUCUCAUUUUUUAUCUUGGAAUCUUAUGGAGAAUCAAAGAACUCAAAGCAUUCUUCAUUCUUCAUUUUCCAAAAUUCCCCUUUGAGCCUUCAAUUUAUUCAUACAAGAGUUCUCGUGAGAGAGACAUUGUAAAAGCUUCAUUUGUAUAUCCUUCUCAAAAGGAGAAUUGUUAUUGUGAGAGAAAUCUCAAAUCUAUUUCAGUCGAUUGUAUCUAGAGGGUUGUUUUGACCCUGUUUAGGUGUGAAGGAAAUUUUCCACCUUGUGAGAAGAGUGUGUACUCUUGCGUGUAAGGUUUGAACUCCACCUGCACAGGAGUUUGGCGGAUUAGUGUUGAUUGAAAUCUUCAAGUGUUGUGCUUUGGGAGUGACGUAUGUCAGGAAGACCGAACCACUAUAAAUUAUAGCCGAGUUUUGAUCUCUUUCCUUCUCGUUGUAUUAGUGUGCUCAUAUUUAUACGCUCGGUGCAUUAUACUGCUUUUUAUAUCAUUUGGAAACUCUUAAUUCAGUAUAAUUUAUUAAAAGAAAAGUUUUGCCAACAAACCCUAUUCCCCCCCCUCUAGGGUUAAUUUCUGGGUAACAAGUGGUAAUCAAGCAGGACUCUACAUUUUUCGGUAUCUAAAACGAUCUAGGAUUAAAAAGAUCUAUGGCCACAUAAUAGGAACACAUAUGGCCGAAUGCCAUUCCAUACAUAGACUCUGCUUUCCACUUAUUCGUCCGGAUAGUAAUUUAUAGAUUAUUGUGAAGGCUAGAAUUAAAAUUUUAUAUUCAGUGCCAAUGAUUAUGCAUGUUUGUCGAGCAUUAACAAAGCAUGGACCUAUUGCGUCCCACAAAAUAACUGAAAGUGGAGAGUGGUUACUAUAAACCUCAAAGAAUGGACUAUCGUAGAUACAAAAGCACAUGUAACAAAAUAAUGCUCAAGCCAACUUACACCACUUUUUAUAUUGUGCCUUACAGACGUAACGCAUUAAAUAAAUCUCCGGUGGUGAAACGGCUAAGGAAAUUGUUGGGAUAAGACACGUAAGAAUCCACCCAUGCGAACUGGACCAUCAAGUAAAAGGAAUCAAAAAUAAGUAUGUUAGGUUCAUUAAUACGAAUUUUUAAAAAUGAAUCAAGUGAUACUAAUGUAUCUGCAAUGUGUUCUACCUCGUUUUUUUAACCGAUAUGAUGUGUUCAUUAAUGGAGUGUAAGAGUCGCGCUGUAAAGUUUGUAUACAAUGUCGAAAUGGUGCGAGUAAUGCAUUGCUUAGGUGUCAUUAUCCACAAGAAGUUGGGAGACCAAACGUAUACCUGCCAUUGAAGAAUGCCAAAAGUAGCCCAUCACCAAAAAUGGGUCUUGAUGAAUUGGCUUGGAUCUCUCAUACACUGAAAUCACCUUGAGAGCAAUGAGGAAAAUGACGAAGGUAAAAAAAGAGAGAAAUUGCUUUCAAACCUCAUCAGCACAAACAAUGAUGAACCUCAACAUGAAUGAGGAAGUGAUGAAGAUAUGGCUCUCUUAAACGAAGAUUUACAGAUUUCAAAAGAGGUCAUUUCCUAGAAGACAAGGACGACCGAAACUUCGACAAAAAUGAAGACAAAAGAAGGACCCCCCAUCAUUUGCUUUGAAUGCAAAAAGCCCGGUCACAUGAAAGUUUGAUUGGCCAAAUCUCAAGAAAGAUCAAACGAGAUAGAGAAAUAUCAAAUUUGAAAAAUUCAAGAAGCUUUUCGGCUUGGGGAGAAAUUGACGUUGACACAUCCGAUGAUGAGUCCGGUGAUUCAAGAAGUGGCAAUUGUGUUCUUGUUCCUCAAGAAGAUAUAAAAAUGAGGUACAAUCUCGAAUCCAUUCCUUAAAUGAUUUACAAGAUGAUUAUGAUGAUUUAUAUUAGGGAAUCAUUGAAAUUAAUAACAAACAUUGCAUGCUUUAAAACAAUUGCCAUCACUUUCUAUUGAAAUAGAAACCUUUUGAAGAAGCUGGCUAAUGAGUGACAAGUAAAUAUUGAACUACUGAUACAAUUUUAGAUCUAACAAAAUGUCUUGGAAAAAUUUACAAAAGUCAAAAGAUUUUGGAUCUACUUCUUGGAUCACAAAGAUGUGUAUAUGAUCCGUGCGGGAUUGGACACAAUAUUCAACUAACAAAAUUAUAUAAAUAUCUUUGUGUGAAUCAACUUCUUUUUCGACCACAAAAAUUUCAUGCACAGAUUGCAAUCCUAAGGGCAUACUCAAAAACAUGCUAUGUGAAGAAUGUGUUAGGUAAAGGAUUAAAAAACAAUAUGGGGACCUAAGAAGAAAAAUGCUACUAACAUUCAAGGACCCAACCAGAUUUGGGUACCAAGACAAUGGUUGAUCUUGUAUAAGGUUGCUGAAUGAAUUCAAAGAAAGGAGGAGGGGGGGGGGGGGGGGUGGUACUUGUAGUGGAUGCUCAAGACAUUGACUCGGAGAAUAAAUCCACCUUUCGCAUACUAAUCCAAAGGAUGUGGAUUUGUGACCUUCGAGACAAUAGCAAGGAAAAAUCUCGUAUAGUUAAUGGGGUAGGAACCUUCUCCUUUAUAUAAAAUGUUUACUUGUUGAUGGAUUAAAGCAUAACUUUACUUAGUAUUAGUCAUAUGUGAUACGGAAAAUAAAGGCAUCUUUGACAAAUAUGUGCCCAUAGAAAAAUAUCAAAGAUGAUAAAACUUAUUUAAUUGUCAAAGAAUUGAAAUGUAAUUUUUUUUGUUAAAAAUUGAUGACGUUGAGCCAACAAAUGGACUUGCUUAUCAGCCAUGAAUGACAAACGGUUGGCUAUGGCCAUAAAGGCCUUGGGCAUUCUCUAUAGAUCUUAUUUCAAAACUUGCUAAAAGGAUUGGUAAUUGGGCUAACCAAAAAUUUCUUUUGAAAAGAUAGUUGUGUGGAGCAUGUCACCAAGGACAACAAACAAAGUGUCUUUUAAGUCAAAAAUAUCGUUUCUUCUCUCUCUUCUAACAUCUAAGGCCUCUACAACUUCUACACACAUGGACCUUAAUUGGUCCUUCAAGACAAUGAAGUUCGUGAGGAAAUUAUACAUUCUUGUGAUUUGUGAUGAUUUUUUCUCGAUUUACAUGGUAACAUUUUUAGCUCACAAAAAUUAAGCAUUUUCCUCAUUUCACAAAAACUUGCCGACGUCUCAAAUGAUAAAGAACUAAGACCUCAAAAUUUCUACAUUAGAACCGAUCAUGGGAAAGACUGAAAUUGAGUCUUUUUGCCAAAUUUUGUGAUAUCUCGGAUUGGACUAAUUUCUCGGCACCUAGGACCCCUCAACAAAAAGGCUUGUUGAAAGAAAAAAUAGAACUUUGGAAGAAAUGGCAAGAACAAUGCUUUGCGAAAACUCUCGUCCAAAAUAACUUUGGGCUUAAAAGCUGUGAACACGCAUGCUUUAAUUUAAUCGAGCCAUGAUUUAGGCCAAUCUUAAAAGACACCUAUGAGCCUUUGGAAAGAAGAAACCAAAUAUUGGGUUCUUUCAUUGCUUUGGAUGCAAUGCUUAUGUCCCUAAAUAUGGGAAGGACAACUAGGAAAAUUCGAUCAAUCGGAUGAAGCUUUUUCUAGGAUAUUCAAUUACAACACAGCUUUUUCGAGUUUUUAACAAACGAACUUUAGUAGUUGAAGAAUCCUGCAUGUUGGUAUUUGAUGAAUAUAAUGAUCCUUCUUUUCAAGUGCUUCAAGAAAGUUAGGAAUUGAAAAGCAUGGAAAAUAUUGAAAUCUCUCAAGAACGCAGAUACUCAAGGAGAAGCCACUGAAAAACAAAUUGCAACUAGAGGUAGUACUUACCUCAAAUUGAAAAUCACGUGGGAAACCUCAAAAGCAAAGAAGGUGGAAGCUCACAUCUCCCAAAGAAUGGAGAUAUGUUUUUCACAACCACCAACAAUCUCAUUAUUGGUGAUCCAUCAAAAGGGUAACUACUAGAACUCUAUAAAAUUUAUUGGGCAUCUUGCAUUCUAUUCUCAAUAGAACCUAAAAUUUUCAUGAAGCUGAAUUUGAUGAAUAUUGGCUUCUAGCUAUGCAAGAGAACUCAAUCCAUUCGAAAGAAAGCAAGUUUGGACUCUAGUACUAGGCAUCAAAUCAUCCUCAUAUUGGCACUAAAUGGUAUUUAGAAAUAAACUUGAUGAAUCCGGAAUCAUUGUUAGAAAUAAAGCUAGACUUUUGGCCCAAGGAUAUAGUUCAAGAAGAGGAAUAGAUUUUGAUGAUAAUUUGCUCUCCCGUAGCUAGAUUGGAAGCUAUUUCGAAUGUACAGCCUUUGCAUGCUAAUAUGGACUUCAAUUAUAUCAAAUGGAUGUAAAAAGUGCAAUUCUUAAAUGGAUUUAUUACCGAGGAAGUGUUGUGCCACCUCGCCGGGUUUGGAGAAUCAUGAAUUGCCCAAUCAUGUCUUUAACUUUCAAAGCACUCUAUGGACUUAAGCAAGCUCCAAGACGUGGUAUGAAAGACUUAGCAAAUAAUUUAAAUGAUACUAGUUUUUGGCAAGAGGGAAAAUAGAUAAUACACUUUUUAUAAAAAUUGAAGAAUAAGGACAUGCUCAUCGUCCAAGAUAUGUUGAAUGAUAUUAUAUUUGGUGCUACUAUGAGAAUAUUGCAAAGAAUUUGGCUAAAGAGCAUGCAAAGGAGAAUUCGAUGACAUAUUGGGGAGGCUAACUUUCUUCCUUGGACUAACAAAUCAAACAAUCAAGCGAAGGGACAAUUUAUAAUCAGCAAAUACACAAAGGAGCUUCCUCAAGCGUUUGGCAUGAUAGAAGCAAAACCGCUAGGCACCACCGAACCCCAUAUGGGCACAUCAAUAAGCCUUGACAAAGAUGAAAUGGUAAAAAUGUUGAUGAACAAGCCUCUAAUCGAGGUAUGAAUUGGCUCUUUUGCUCUAUUUAAAACAAAACGGAAGUAGGCCGGAUAUCAUGUUUUAGUGUAUGCCAUAUGUGCUAGAUUUCAAUCAUGUCCUAAGGAAUCAACUUUAAGUUUGCUGUGAAACGCUAUUUAGAUAGCUCAUAGAAACGUAUGACUUAGGAAUAUUCAUCCUAGGGUAGUUGCAUUUGAAUUAAAUGAUUCCUCCGAUGCCGACUAUACGCCGGAUUGUAGAUAGAUCGAAAGAGCACAAGUGGCACUUGCAUUCCUAGGACACUCUCUAGUGUCAUGGUCUAGCAAGAAACAAAAUUCCGUUGCUUUAUCAACCGCCGAGGCGGAAUAUGUGGCCGCGGAAGUUGUUGUGCCAUUCCUUAUUGGAGGAAACAACAAUGGAGGAGUAUGGUUUAAUUUGAUCAUAUUCCCAUCAAAUGUGAUAAUACACGUGCUAUAAAUUUUGUCUAAGAGCCCCAAUUAAUACAACACUCAAAGAACAAACCUAUUGAAAUUCGACAUCUCAUUUUUUAAAGAUCACGUCCCAAAGGGGGAUUUGACUUCAAUAUAUUCCUACCGACAAGCAUUGGCGGCUAUUUUUAACAAAACCCCUUGAUUGAAAAAAGAGAUUUUGCUAUAUUCCGAACUGAACUGUAAUGGUCUAAACCAAGUGAUAUUUUUGGAUCUUAAAAUAAAUUUAUAAGUAUAAGUUGAGUCAUAGUUGAGAAAGAAUAGUUCGGGACUGAAUGUAUUCAAUGCCUAAUCUCCGACAAACAAUUUUUUUCCUUUCUUUGAAUUGUUAUCUUGAUUUGAUAUGUGAUAAAUAAGAUUAUCAAAAAGCUGAGGUACUGAUAUUAUGAUAAGAACUAUGAGAUCUCUAUAUGCUUAUAUGCGAAAAUGUAAGUAUGUAAUGUCUGACAAUGAGAGUUGUUCUUUAUUUUGAUAAAACUAUCCCUUUUGAUAAUUUCAAAACUCCUCUAAAUGAAAGAAUUUUAAGAUUUGAGGUUUUAGUGCAAAAAUCUUUUGGUUUAUUCACCACUCAAAUUAUCUUUCGUUAAACAUCCUAUGUGUUUAAUUGGUAUCUAAUACUAGCAUGUGAGAUAACAAGAAAAUAUUCUUGGUCAAAAAUUUUUUAAAAAAACUCCUUCAUUAUGUUUUCAUAUGUGAUUGUUUGAUUAGUUGAAAUACAUGCAUAUCAUCAUACUUAUGCACCAACUUAGGGGAGCACUACAUAUUGGUACCACUUUGGUAGGGUAUCCUACAUUUACCUUCAUUGAAAUUAGACAUCAUAUCUUUAUUUCGUGAUCCUGUCAAAAAGAAGAUGUAGACCUAGAUUUUAUAAGUACUGGAUUUCAAUGGGUUGACAUCUUCAUAAAACCACUUCAAGAGAUCGUUCUGCAACCAUUCGAAGAGACCUUGGUAAAUGUGUAGACCACAAAUAUUAACAUAAUAUUUUAGGUUAUUUAUUUUAUAUUUUUUUAUAUAGAAUAAUUUACUAUUAUUCUGAAUCAAAUUACCUGUUUAAGUUUUCAAGAAAAUCUUAGCUUUUUCGGACUUCAACACGAACUCUCCUGGUUGCUCUUGUAAGACGGUUUUUAUCAUCUCUAGUUUUCUGAAUACUCUUUUUCCAUAUCAUUAGCAUAUGAUCGACAUUUCUCUUCACUCUUUAUUCCUCCUGCUGAAGACUUCUUUCCUUCGUUGCAAGUUUCAAACUUGAGAGUCCUUAGCUCUUGACUGCAUUUCCCUCGACUUGUAACGUCGAGCCAUAAUUUGCAACGAAGAUGCACCCUGGAUUACUGAGUGCCAUAGGAGUCCUUAAUGGCUUCAAUAUCAAUUCCAUAUUCCUCUAUAACUUUUCCAUCUUGUGGAGUACUGAUUCCUUUAGGCUAACUGAUGCAGCAAACUGCAUCAUCCGCAUCACAGAGCCAUUGUUAUGAUAGGUCUUUUUUGAGAUAAGGGUUAAUGAACGCCAGAUUCUGGUUGUACAUUAGGCAUAUCAUUCACGAUCAAAUUUCUUUUUGAGAAGAAGAAGAAGCCAUUUUUGAAAACUAAGAAAGAAACUGGUUCAGUAAAUGAAAUUGUUCUUCAAAAAGAACCGAAGGAGAAAGAAGAAGAGAACUAAUUUUUGGGAUCUAGGAAAGAGAUUUUUUCAGACAAAUAUAGCCUAAAAGUCGUCCUCUGUGCACAGCCGCACCUACCAUUGACAAACCAAUCCUAGAUUACGAUUUUAUUUUUAUUUUUUAUUUUUAUUUUUAUUUUAUUUUUAUUUUUUAUUUUGUUAUUUUUAUUUUUUUAAUUUUUUAUUUAGAUCACAUGCGUCAUCACAGCGUUCACUCGCACCUAUUGCCCCUGUCAAUCUCAUCUAUAAUUCACUUGUCUUCUCUCUACCAACGCAUAUUUCUGUUCUCAAUUCUUCAUACUCUGAAAGCUAAAAAACUUUUUCUUCCUAGUUUCAGCCUAUCAAUCUCUUCUUAAGAGAAAGAUUAGCAAGCGCAUCUAAUUCAUACCAUCUAAAUUCUAUAAGAAAGAUGCAACAUCACAAUUGAUUCCAACAACAGAAGCAAGACUAUUCUUGAUCAUGUUCAUCUAGAAGCAAGAUUUAUUCUUGAUCAUGUUUCUAAGAUGGAAUAAUCUUUCUCUUCUUUCUCAUCAGGAUUUUUCCUCCAUGAUAUAAAAUCUGUGACAGAAGAGAUAAAGCACUAUGAUAUGGGGGAUCUCCUCAUAUCUUUUCCUGAUUGCUUGCUCACCUCCUGGAUUCAAUUGAGCAAGCUUUCACUCAUAUUUAUCGUUAGAUAUACUUUCAUCAUGAAAGGGGGAGCAUCUUCGUAAGGGGGGCUUUUUAUUAUCCUUUUUGUUGAUGUCAAAAGGGGAGAAAUAAAGAUAUAUAAAAAAUUUUUGUUAAUUCCCAUAAAUAGCUUACUAAUAAAAAUGCAUUCUUCUCAGUGAUAUUACAUACUGAUUUGAUCAGUAAUAGUUAAUUACUACGAUGUGCUUAAAAUUUUUUUAUAUCAUAUUUUGUCAUCAUCAAAAAGGGGGAGAUUGUGUAGCCCUAUGGCGUCAAUCCGUUAUGUCUCAAUCUUUUGAUGAUAACAAAUUCUAUCUUAUUUGCUCAUGUUAUUGAAUUCAAGUAUGUUAGUGGCAAGAAAUAUUCAAGCAACAUUCUCAAGACCAAAAGAACCGAAGGAUAUUUGGACUGGCAAAACAAGAACCUUCAAGCACUGAAGAUCAAAAAAAUGAAGAACCUUUGUUAGGUAUUUUUGUAAAGCUCUUGUAUGGUUAAAUUUUUUAGGCUCUAAAAUACCGCGAUAUCUUCAUGCAAUUUUAAAAAUAACAAAAAAAAAAGUGCAUUACAACUUAGAUUUAUUAAAAUGUGCUAGCAAAAAUUAUUGUCCCUGUGAAUAUUUGACUACAAUUUUAAAAAAUGGGCUACAAUAAUUUUUGAUUUUGAAAAUUUGAUUUCAAUUUUGAAAAAUAUGCUAGCAACAAUUUUUGAC